AGGAGGAACAACCGCAGUGGCGGCAGGUCUGGAGCCCUGGAGUCAGCCCCCGCAGUAAAUACAGAGCAAUCCGUCUGCAGGGCCUGGAGGCUCCGGGGCGGG
rnacentral:pre_miRNA from 1 species